AUGAAGCUCCUAUGUUGGAACGUUAGGGGCUUCAGCCAUUCUGGCCGUCGUCGGCAGCUCAUUGAAUAUAUUCGGCAAGAAGAGAUUAACAUUGUGGGGUUACAAGAGACGAUUCGCCAGAACUUUAGCAUGUUCGAGCUUCAGGGGCUCUCCCGGCACCAGUUUGCCUGGCAGUGGUUACCUGCUGCCGGCAAAUCUGGGGGCAUUCUGCUUGGAUUCCGGGAGGAUGCUUUUUCGGUUGAGGACAUGGAUCACGGGGAGUUCUUCCUUAGCAUGUCCAUCACGGAUUGA
rnacentral:rRNA from 1 species